rnacentral:lncRNA from 1 species
GUGAGGUCAACCUUCCUACCAGUCCCACUGCUCUCGGCCAAGUGGGACCCACUGCUCACCCACGGCCGAACCCAUCUCUCUUCAGACAUCCGUUCUCAUGGCAAUACGCUGCUCAGUGCUGCAGCCGCAGCCUUGUGUGCUGGGGAGCCAGGUCCCAAGGGCCUCCUCAUUAUCAACACACUGCCCUGGAAGCGCACAGAAGUGUUGGCACUACCCAAGCCUUGUGGGGCUCACAGCCUAGGUAUGAGCUGAAGGGGAAAGCUGGUCCUGCAGCAGGAGAAACUAAGGCUAGACAGCAUGGCAAGGAUACUCCCCAGGGGUUUCUAUCUUAGGGUACCCCAAUCUGGAAGAAAUCUAUAUGCAAUCCCAUCCAACUUAUCCUUAACCUGAGCAAGGUUUCUAGAACGUCAGAGAGGCUACACUGAUGCUCAGGCCUUGUCCCCAGCCCUGGUGACAGUGCCCAGUAUUGGCUAUGCUCCUGCUCCCACCCCUACUUCACUGCAGCCCCUCCUACCCCAGCAGCCCGUGUUUGUGAUGCAGGAGGUAAGUCCUAGCAGCGCCCAAUGGGGGUGAGGCCUAGUCUGGGAUUCUCCUAGGUCUGAAGCAAGGGGCUGGGGCACUGCACAGCUUUGGGAGGGUUGGGCUAGGGGUAGGGAACACUACUCACUCAGCUCAA